GUGCGAGUAGCGGAUGUGAGCGACCUGAGCGCGCGGACCCACAAUUAGACUACAAUUCGCCGACACACCGGCGGAAUAUAUUUAUAAAUAAAUAUCUUCAGCUCAAAAUUAUAUGGUAAAAUAUCACUUGGCUGAAACUCUCGAAUAGAGUCGCUUAUUCUUUUUCUCUUAAUAAGACUUUUUAAAAGUGUUGCUUGCAAGUGAGGUGUAAAAUGUUAAUUUAGCUCGUGCCAACUCCGUGGAAAUAUGUAACUGCGACUAAUGAGGAUGUAAAAUGGAGCAGUCGGCUACUCUCGAUAUAGAGACUCUCAAGAUUACCCAGGAGCAGUUUAUUCUUGCAUCGCAGUCCCUGCACCUUCAGCGACCUGGCUGUGAUGCUGUCUACCAAGUGGGUCUAUACGGCUGGAGAAAACGAUGCCUCUAUUUCUUCCUGCUCCUGCUGCUGGUCACCAUGAUAGUUAACCUGGCCCUUACUGUCUGGAUCAUAAAGGUCAUGAAUUUUUCAGUGGAUGGAAUGGGAAACCUCCAGCUGAACCAGGAUGGGAUUCACUUGGAGGGAGUCAGCGAGUUUCAGUUGCCUCUUUAUGUGAAUGAGAUCCAGUCCAGAGGGGACAGCGUGUUGGUCUUACGAUCAGAAAAGAACGUAACGCUGAAUGCCAGAGACAGCCAAGGCCAGCUCACUGGUCAGCUCACAGUGGGACCUGAAGCUGUGGAAGCCCAGUGUCAGAGGCUGGAGGUGCGAAGUAGAGAUGGAGGCAGACUUCUGUUCACUGCCGAUGAGGACGAACUCACCAUGACAACAGAGCAACUGACAGUCACUGGCUCAGAAGGUGCUGUAUUCGAACACUCAGUCGAGACUCCUCUGAUCCAGGCGAGGACUUCUGAGGACCUGAAGCUCGAGGCCCCAACAAGAACCCUGACCAUGGAGGCUCCCAGAGGGGUGGAAGUAAGUGCUGCCAAGGGGACGCUGAAGAUCAGUAGCAGAAAGGACCUACAACUAGAGUCCACAGAGGGAGAGAUACUUCUAGAUGCAAACAGCAUUCAGCUUGGAAGCCUACCGCUUGGCAUGUACACAGCAUCUCCCAGUCAGGCCUUCCUGGAACAGGCCGUGUAUGAGGUGUGUGUUUGCCCCAGCGGCAAGAUCUACCUCUCCCCUGCAGAGAGCAGUUCCUCCUGCCAGGCCAUGAGCAACAUCUGCCUGUGGAGCUGACCUGGGAGUAGCGUCAGAGAGCAACAGCUCCUUGAAUGUUUCAUCUGACUGACAAGGGACAGAAAGUAGAAAGUGGAAUACACCGAGGUGGAGAUGGUACUCAAAAUCUUCACUGUCUGAGCUGUCACAUCAGGAGAGAAGCUGCUCCCUGCAGUGGAUUAAUAGAGGUCAGGACUCCACUGACAGCAUCUGAAGCAACAGCAACAGCUCUCUGAAAUCAGGAACAUGUACAAAACAGCUUCCAAUACCUUAUUAAAGUGGAACUUUUUCCUGACUUUGCAACACUAAGUGUGCGAGUCGUACCGCUCUACGACGCAGCGGCCCACUGUGGAGUCUGACAGAAGAAGCUGGCUUACCUUGUCACUCCAAAUGCGAGCAAGGCAGGCAGCCAUGUUUCAGCUGGCAUGCUGGAGAGAGAUUCCUUACUUUACUCUCCUUUCUCAUCCUCCACCACUGAUCAUAGGCCUCCGGCAGAGAUGAGCCCAUCUGGUAAGAGCCUUGGAUGAUGAUUUAACCACCCUGCUCAGUUUAUCUUAAAGGGAAACUUCACACUGAAAUCAAUAUUUUUUCCUCUGAGCUCCAGGAAUAUUUGGACAUCUAGAUUGUUUUGGUUUGAGGUGGAGUUUGAAAUAUAUCGACUGCAUAGAUGACUGUUGUCUCUUGAAAUAAGGGAGCUGGAUAGGUCUCAGUUUGAGGGAAAAGUACAAAAAGGAUUUAUUUGGUCAACUCAACAUCUGUGAACGGAAACUAAAACAUGAGUACUUUCUCUAAAACGAGACAAAGCUUAUGACGGCCAUGAAGGUGCAACGGGAUGUAAACAAUAAUGACGCCUUCAUUCGAUUUGUACCUUCAGCCAUAAAUUAAGCUCCAUAACAUCAGAUUGCUCUGAAAAAAUCUAAAUAAAUUUGAACUGAAGUAAAGACCUGUCACCAUUAAAAACAAAUCACGUAGUCGUAAUUAUUUAAGACUGUUGCAGUGAUGCUUGCAUAAUCAUCUUCAUUCACACUGACAAGAAUAUGAUGUCCACCUUGUUGACUGAUGGAGUUCAUGACCUUGUAAUGACAUUAGCUUGUUAUAUGCCUGUCCUCUGUUUUGGACGUAGAG